UCUGCCCUUAGAUGCUUUGCAGAUGUGGUUGCUGUGUCACAUGUACAUCAGUAGGUUUAAAAGAGGAGAGAAGCUUUGUCUAUCCUCAGUCUUUUAAUCUGUGAACAUCUGAAUGAUUAGAAGCCUAACAUU